CAAUGGAUUUAAUCAAUCUAGCUAAUCAUGUUCAUUAUCAAAAUACACAAGAAUUCAAUUACAACAAUGAGCAAAGGUAGAGAAAACCCGAUUACACUCUUGGAUGAGAGUAAAUAGCCCCAAAUCCUUUUGCUCCAAUUGAAUCGAUUCUUGUUCCUCUUGCUCGAUUUGAAAAUCAAUCAACGAACCUCGCCCAAUCUUUGAUCUUUGAAGGGAAUCCGAUUGAAACCUUGAUCCAAGUCUUCUUUUCUCUUAGUUUCAGCUCAGAAAACCCUUAGGGAAAGAAAAAUUAGGGUUUGGGACGUUCUAACCCUAGCCUCCUUUUUUUUCCUCUGUUCGUUCUUUUAAUUAAUACCCCAUGUUGCCUCCAACGCGGCCGUGUCCCUGGCCGUGUUAAGGACACGGUCUGGUGUUCCUGGCCGUGUUACUCUUUGUGGCCGUGCUCCAUAAGAUCUACUUCUUCUUUGAUGUCCAACACGGCCGUGUUGGUUCCCGUGUUGGUAACACGACCUGUGUUUGUGACCGUGUUGAGACCAACACGGCCGUGUCCCUGGCCGUAUUAAGGACACGGUAUGGUGUUCCUGGCCGUGUUACUCGCUGUGGCCGUGCUCCAUAAGAUCUACUUCUUCUUUGAUGUCCAACACGGUCGUGUUGGUUCCCGUGUUGGUAACACGGCCUGUGCUUGUGACCGUGUUGAGAACACAGCCAGUGUUGAGACCAAUGCGACCAUGUUCAGCUUCCUCAUGCUCGUACUUAGCUCGUUUCGGCAGCUUUGACGUCCAAUUAUGCUCCAAUUCUUUUCUUUUUCAUUCUUUGACUUCUUUUGGACCUAAUGCACACAAACAUACGCAUAGGGUGAGUGUUGGUACCAAUUCACAUUCAAAUAUCCAUAAAAUCGAUCUUAAAAAUCCCAUUUAGAUGUGUGUAUUUUACGCACAUCAAAUAACCCCACACUUAGCUCAUUGCUUGUCCUCAAGCAAUCAAAAGUAAAAUAAGGAAAAUAAACCACUAAGAAACAGCACUUAAACUGACAGACAAACUAGAGAGCUCCUGCACAUAUCCUUAACAAGCGUAAGUCAAACAAAAAGAAAAGAAGCAAUCAAUUCAAAUAUCACAACCAAGAUGCCAAUAAUUCACACAAUACUGUCUCAACGAAAUUAUUCAGAACCAACUCCUCACCAGAUUCACUCUAAAUCACUCAAAGUGUUUAAAGGGUAGUGUUUAAUCGCUCAAUGCAUCAACUACUGCCUUACUUACUAUAUGCUUGCUCUUAAAUCCUACUCCUACCACUUAUGGAGAGUCAACAACCAUGUCAAAAGGUCUUUAUAAAGGUUGUAAUGGGGAUUAGGUAAGGGUAGGUAAAUUUGGUCAGAGUUGAACCUAUGGUGUUCUGCAAUGAAAUACAUGACCUGCACACAAGUCACAAUAAUCACAAUGGGUAAACAAUGGAUAGUAGUCCAAGGUAGGAAAUAGGAAUCAAGUCAAAAUGUUUAGCUCAGUUACUUUCUUUCUUUUCAUCACCUUUCCCUCUUAUUCUUCUUUUUAUUUAUUUUUCUUCUUUCUUUUUUUUUUUCUUUUUUUCAUAAAGGAAGAACAUUCACAUAAUAGAGUGAAUUUCUUUUUGGAUUGAAGUAAGCUGCUACAAGAUUCCAAAGCUAUUCCCAAGACAAAAAUUCCCAAUAAAAACAACUAAUGUGCAAAAUCAUAACCCAAAGCAGAAUAAAACUAAGUGGUAAUGGAAUAUGAUAAAAAAUGGUGAAAGAAAGGGUUAUCUACAUAAUCAAUAAACGAAUGAAGGCUAUUUGGCUAGAAUGAAAACCUAAGUGCCUCUAUCAUACCAAAGUGUUAAACUCUCCUUGUGGCCCUCAUAAGCAUUACCGAGCAAGUUCUAAAGGUAAAGACAGUAAUUGACACUCUCAACAAGAAAUAAAUACAAGUAUAUAAAGUGUAUGCUUACAAUUUAGGCUCAAUUUCUCACAAGUGUGCUUUUGAGUAGGUUCCAAACAAAAAUCAUCAAAACAGAAUUAAAUAAAUCAAAGCAACUUAGUGCAAAACUCAAACUAAUUAUCUUACAUUCUUCCGCAAAACUCAACACUAUCGGUUUUACCCGAUCACAUGGACAUAAACAGGAUUUCAAAAUCAAGUCAACAGUAAGAGCAUCGAAACAAAGUGAAAAAUUUUCAAAAUUUUAUAAAAAAUUGCACAAAGAAUAAACAAAUAACUAAGAUGGGAUAAAUAUCACCCACCCCACACUUGACGGACACACUGUCCUCAGUGUACAAAAUAUAUGAAAUGAAAAAGGAAAAAUAAACUAAUACUACCCUGAUUAUGGCUCCGGAGUGAAAAGAGGUGCAUCAGCAGGUAUAUCAGGGCAUUGGCUGGUCUGUGGUGGAGGAGUGACUGCAAAUAAUAAAAUAAGGAAUUAAAAUCGAAAUUGAAAUAAAAAUUAAAUAAAAUAUGAAAACUAAAACUAAUAAAAUGUUUCAAAAUGAAAGGGUAAAAAAUAAAAUUAAAAAAUUAAAAAUGAAAAAGAAAUAAAAUAAAAUUUGGGGUGCCUCCCAAAAGCGCUUCUUUUUGAUGUGAUGAGUCUUCUUAGCUGGACUCAUGGUGAAAAGCAAAUGGGCGUGAUCGACGACCAUCCAUCAUUCUUCCAAGCAAAUGGCUUCAAGUAUCCGCUUAGAAGGAUAAUCGUCAAUGUCCUCUUCCUGACUAUCAAGCAAGCUGCCAGUAUGAUGGGCAAGACUCGCUCCUCGUAUAAUUGCACGUAGUCAUGAUGCUCUAGGGGCUCUUCCAAUUUGGAAGCUGAAGUUUCACCAAUUGGAAGGAUUGACGGUUGGGCAAUUUCUUCAGGAACGUCAAUGGUUUCCUCUAGUCCUUGUCUUGGUUCACUUGCUAGAAGAAACUCGAGCUCCUCCAAGACUUCUUCAUUGGAUAACUCAUGCUCAUCUUCCAUCAUCGAAGGGACUUGUGAAAAAUCUACCAAAAAUUCCUCUAACUGCAACUCAGCAUCAUCAACUGUACGUUCUUGUUGAUAGUCUUUCAAAAGAAUCAUGUUCGCCUCUUCCUUUUCUGGUUCCAUCUCCAUGUUCAAGAAAUCGUCCUGCACAUAAGCAUCAUCGUCAAACAUAAUAGAUAAACCAGAAAAAUUCUCACCUGAACGCAAAGUGACGGCGCUCAAAUGUUCCUCGGAUUCAGUAGCAUUUGAUGGAGUUCCCGAUUGCUCUUCAGCUAGUAACUUGAAGAUUAAGCCUACUUGAUGCUCUAUGUUGUUAAUCGAGGCUUGUUGAUCUUCAAGUAUCCUCUCUGUUUGUUGGAAUCUAUCAUCAAGACUUGUAAUGAACCUCAUCAUCAGCUCCUCCGACACUAACUCUUCAUCUUGAGUUGAAGGUGCAAGAUUAGGCUGCUGAUGUGGUUGCUGAGAUUCUGGUGGUUCUAGGCCAUCUAAGCUCCAUCCAUAGGGUGAAUGAGUGCUCCACUCUUAAUUAUAGGUGCUUCCAUACGAGUCAUUUGGCCAAUUGCCCGUAUAAUUCACCUAUUCAUAGUUAUAAGAACAAUGAGCAACAUCACUAUACAAUGGACGAUCAUUACUCAAAUGUAAACCACAACAAAAUUCACAAAAAACUUGAGAUGAAAGGAUAGGAGUGGAAAGUUGAUCGGUAGCCCUGCAAAACGAUUCCACUCGAGCUUCUAAAGAUGCACAGGUAUCCCAAUUUUUAGCACUCUCUUGGUUCCUAAUCCCAUUUUCCAAUACGUCAUACAAAGAGUUUGAGUUUAGCAUUGAACCUCCUUAUCAUUCACUAUCUGAAUCAUAAACUUAAACAAAAUAAAUAUAUACAAACAAAACAAAAAUAAAUAUAAAUAAAAAUUAAAAAAAAAUGGCUAAAUUAACAAAUAGCAAAUUUCACUCUAGUUUUCGAACAGUCCCCGGCAACGCCGCCAAAAACUUGAUGGGUGCUACUCGUGUUAGCUACAAUCUAAGGCAGUGUACCUAUCGAUGCAGUCUAGCACUAAUGGCGAGUAUCAAGGUCGUAUUCCUCGGGAAAGUGAAAGCCCAGAAUUACUCAUUUGUUCUUUGUUAUAUUAACCUAAAAUUAGCAAUAAAUAAUUUCUAAACUAACUAAUAGCUACAAGCUAAGUCCUAAGGGAGAUGCAAGAGUGAUUGAUAAACGAAAUAACUAAGGCAAGAAGACAAACCCAAAGGGAAUCUAAACUAGUUGGCAAUCAAACAACAGAUAAAGGAUUGGUGAGUCUAAUUAUGCUACCCGUGGACGAAUUCUUAACCGAGUUCGGUUUCUCUCUCGAAAUAAUCGAAUUCUUAAAUCUAAUAACCUAAAGUUGGAAUCUCUUCCUAACGAUUGAUUCUUAAAUUAGCAUUAAGCUUUAAUCCGCCUCUAUUAAGCUUUGUUAAUUCUUAAUCCGGCUAGUUAAUUAUCCUUAUCUCUAAGCGAUUAUUAACCAGUUCUUGCUAUUCAAAAUUCCAAUUGCCAAAUGGACUUCUCAAUCACACAAAGCAAUUUAAACACACAACUCACAACGUCUCAUGAAUAAUGCAUUAUCUUAUUAAUACUGAAAGCAAGAAGAAUAUAAAACUAAUCCAACACAAUCCAACAAUAUAAUACUAAGCCAACAUAGUAAAGAAAUCCCAAUGGAUUCAAUCAAUCUAGCUAAUCAUGUUCAUUAUCAAAAUACACAAGAAUUCAAUUACAACAAUGAGCAAAGGUAGAGAAAACCCAAUUACACCCUUGGAUGAGAGUAAACAGCCCCAAAUCCUUUUGCUCCAAUUGAAUCGAUUCUUGUUCCUCUUGCUCGAUUUGAAAAUCAAUCAACGAACCUCGCCUAAUCUUUGAUCUUUGAAGGGAAUCCGAUUGAAACCUUGAUCCAAGUCUCCUUUUCUCUUGGUUUCAACUCAGAAAACCCUUAGGGAAAGAAAAAUUAGGGUUUGGGACGUUCUAACCCUAGCCUCCUUUUUUUUUCCUCUCUUCGUUCUUUUAAUUAAUACCCUCUGUCGCCUC
rnacentral:lncRNA from 1 species